UACGGGGGGGGGCAAGCGUUGUUCGGAAUUACUGGGCGUAAAGGGCUCGUAGGCGGCCAACUAAGUCAGACGUGAAAUCCCUCGGCUUAACCGGGGAACUGCAUCUGAUACUGGAUGGCUUGAGUUCGGGAGAGGGAUGCGGAAUUCCAGGUGUAGCGGUGAAAUUCGUAGAUAUCGGGAGGAACACCAGUGGCGAAGGCGGCGAUCUGGGAAGAUACUGACGCUGAGGUGCGAAAGCGUGGGGAGCAAACAGG
rnacentral:rRNA from 1 species